rnacentral:rRNA from 1 species
UGACCUCGGAUCAGGUAGGGAUACCCGCUGAACUUAAGCAUAUCAAUAAGCGGAGGAAAAGAAACCAACAGGGAUUGCCUCAGUAACGGCGAGUGAAGCGGCAACAGCUCAAAUUUGAAAUCUGGCUCUUUCAGGGUCCGAGUUGUAAUUUGUAGAAGAUGCUUUGGGUGUAGCUCCGGUCUAAGUUCCUUGGAACAGGACGUCAUAGAGGGUGAGAAUCCCGUAUGUGACUGGGUGCUUUCGCUCGUGUAAAGCUCUUUCGACGAGUCGAGUUGUUUGGGAAUGCAGCUCAAAAUGGGUGGUAAAUUUCAUCUAAAGCUAAAUAUUGGCCAGAGACCGAUAGCGCACAAGUAGAGUGAUCGAAAGAUGAAAAGCACUUUGGAAAGAGAGUUAAACAGUACGUGAAAUUGUUGAAAGGGAAGCGCUUGCAACCAGACUUGCGCGCUGUUGAUCAUCCGAGCUUCUGCCCGGUGCACUCGACAGCGUUCAGGCCAGCAUCGGUUUUGGUGGGCGGAUAAAGGCCUUGGGAAUGUAGCUUCUUUCG